rnacentral:misc_RNA from 1 species
GAUGAAGAACGCAGUGAAAUGCGAUAAGUAAUGUGAAUUGCAGAAUUCAGUGAAUCAUCGAAUCUUUGAACGCACAUUGCGCCCGCCAGUAUUCUGGCGGGCAUGCCUGUUCGAGCGUCAUUUCAACCAUCAAGCCCCCGGCUUGUGUUGGGGACCUGCGGCUGCCGCAGGCCCUGAAAUGCAGUGGCGGGCUCGCUGUCACUCCGAGCGUAGUAGUUACAUCUCGCUCUGGGCGUGCUGCGGGUUCCGGCCGUUAAAAGCCUUAUUUACCCAAGGUUGACCUCGGAUCAGGUAGGAAGACCCGCUGAACUUAAGCAUAUCAAUAAGCGAGGA